rnacentral:rRNA from 1 species
CCUACGGGAGACAGCAGUGGGGAAUAUUGCACAAUGGGGGAAACCCUGAUGCAGCGACGCCGCGUGAGUGAAGAAGUAUUUCGGUACGUAAAGCUCUAUCAGCAGGGAAGAAAAAAAGUCCUUUGGACUUUGGACGGUACCUGACUAAGAAGCCACGGCUAACUACGUGCCAGCAGCCGCGGUAAUACGUAGGGGGCAAGCGUUAUCCGGAUUUACUGGGUGUAAAGGGAGCGUAGACGGCAGCGCAAGUCUGGAGUGAAAUGCCGGGGCCCCACCCCGGAACUGCUUGGGAAACUGUGCAGCUGGAGUGCAGGAGAGGUAAGCGGAAUGCCUGGUGUAGCGGUGAAAUGCGUAGAUAUUAGGAGGAACACCAGUGGCGAAGGCGGCUUACUGGACUGUAACUGACGUUGAGGCUCGAAAGCGUGGGGAGCAAACAGGAUUAGAUACCCCGGUAGUC